rnacentral:rRNA from 1 species
AUUGAACGCUGGCGGCAUGCCUUACACAUGCAAGUCGAAUGGCAGCACGGAUGCUUGCACCUGGUGGCGAGUGGCGAACGGGUGAGUAAUAUAUCGGAACGUACCUUAUUGUGGGGGAUAACGCAGCGAAAGCUGUGCUAAUACCGCAUAAUCCCUAAGGGGAAAAGCGGGGGACCGUAAGGCCUCGCGCAAUUAGAGCGGCCGAUACCUGAUUAGCUAGUUGGUGAGGUAAAGGCUCACCAAGGCAACGAUCAGUAGCUGGUCUGAGAGGACGAUCAGCCACACCGGGACUGGGACGCGGCCCAGACUCCUACGGGAGGCAGCAGUGGGGAAUUUUGGACAAUGGGGGCAACCCUGAUCCAGCAAUGCCGCGUGAGUGAAGAAGGCCUUCGGGUUGUAAAGCUCUUUUGUCAGGGAAGAAACAGCAGCUCUAACACAGUUUGCGAAUGACGGUACCUGAAGAAUAAGCACCGGCUAACUACGUGCCAGCCGCCGCCGUAA